rnacentral:rRNA from 1 species
AUGGAGGCGGCGGAAGAUGCAGGCGACGCCGGCGGCGGCCGCUCCACCGCCCGGAAGCUGGUGCCGUGGUCGAGCUGGGCGGAGUGGCGCUUCGUCCGCGACGCUAUCUUCUCCCCCUACCCCGACCCUGGCGCCGCUCUUCGCAGGAUCGCGGCGUGGCGGAGCAGGGGCUGCCUCCCUAUCCCCGUGGAGGUCACUGCGGCCCUCUUCGAGAUAAGGCUGCGGGAUCCCUUCUUCCGGAAUGGAGUGGCUUCAGAUGAUAAGCUGGAGUCAGACGAGAUGCUCGCCUUGCUGUACAGUAUGGCAAUCAUCAGACUUGUAAAUGGUUUUAUGGAGAGCCCGCACAAGGAAACUGGUCGUUCAAUAUCUGAUUUAGCUGAGACUGUUGGAGUACCACGAAUUCUCGUUGACAUUCGUCAUGAGAGUUCACAUCGCGGCAUCCCCUCUCUGCGACUGCUACAUUUGGCAGCCAUUAAGGCAUUUGAUUGGUUGAAGUGUAAUUACUGGGAUUCCCAGACUAGUGCAAUUCCUGAUGUUCGACUAGAGCUAAACUCAGUAUUGCAUGACAUCGCUCAGUCACUGAAGGGAAAAGAUUCUGAAAAUGCAAAAUCAGGUUCCAAAAGGAAACGUUCCCAGAAACAUAUUUUAAAUGCCAUCAGAUAUGUACGUCGACUUUACUAUACAUGUCCCUCUGAGGCUGUCUCUGUUCUUUUGGAGUUUUGUCAGCUCGAUGCCCCAGAAAUCUCUGAAAACAGCGAUGUACAUCAAUCUGAUAGUUUGGAUGUGAAUCACUCAUCUGAUGUUCAAAUUCGGAAUCAAAUAUCAAAUGGAGAUAUGAAAACCAUCAUAACAAAACUAUCAGAAAAAGAACCAAGAGUGCUUCUUGGCUUACUAAAGUCCGUAAUUGAAAUGAUUGAGGCCAGGAAUGACCUUGAACACAAAGGUGGAUCAUAUGUAUGCCUGCCAGCUGAGUCAUCAACAAUGAAAAACUUGUGCUCCCUGGUUCUAUGGAUUGUCACAAGCAUAAAAGAGUUAAAGGAUUCUGGCCGUAUUGGACUUGUCCAUGAGAUAGGAGUACUCUCUUCGGACAGGAAUGCGGUCCCUCGUUUCUGUCUCGCAAAACUUCUGCAGAAGUUCUUGAGUUUGCCCGUUAUAGGUGAAAGAUGCAUUGCAGAUGCAGCACUAUUGUUGAUUGAGAUGGCCGGCAAUAACAAUGUGAAGGAGAAACUGAGGAAGCUUCCUUUGUUGUCCCUGCGAAGAUCACCCAAAGAUUGUACCCUCCUUGAAUCCAGAAUCUUGCCCAAUGGACAAGAAUCGGUUGAAAGCGCAACACAGAAGCUGGAAGCGUUCAAGUUGCAGUUGAGAAAAACAGAUAAUGCGAGUUUAGCUGAAAAUGGAACUGAGGGGACGCUCAACACAAGCAUGCCAGAGAAACGUAAUAGGUGGUCUAUAGCGAAGUCCUGGACCCCCUGUCCGCUAGGAAUGAUACCAUGUUCAUAUAGUUCAACUGCUGUUCUGCCGGUCCUUGAUGUCAUUGAUGAUGAACUGAAGCAUGACACAGCAGAACAUGAAAAUUUUGAGCCUGAUGGUCAAAUCGAAAUUUUCGACUGCUAUUCUCAACCGGAGCAGCAGUUGGAUGGUGAAGGCAUCCUAGAAAUAUCAAGAUUACCACCUGAACAUGGGAUUUCUGAUAUGCCAGAAUCGACCUUUGGUCUCAGGGGUACAUUACUGGUUGGUGGCGUGUGGAAAAAGGUGACCGAAGAAGAGUUGCUCUCCAUAAAGUCAAGCAUGAAAAUUUUGUUGUAA